rnacentral:rRNA from 1 species
CCCUUAGAUGUUCUGGGCCGCACGCGCGCUACACUGAAGGAAUCAGCGUGGCUUUCUCCCUGACCCGAAAGGGUUGGGAAACCCGUCGAAUCUCCUUCGUGAUAGGGAUUGGGGCUUGAAAUUGUUCCCCAUGAACGAGGAAUUCCCAGUAAGCGCGAGUCAUAAGCUCGCGUUGAUUACGUCCCUGCCCUUUGUACACACCGCCCGUCGCUACUACCGAUUGAACGGUUUAGUGAGGGCCUCGGAUUGGUCUCGGCCCGCUCUUUACCGGGCGGCGCCGUUGGUCGAGAAGACGCUCGAACUUGAUCGUUUAGAGGAAGUAAAAGUCGUAACA